AGUGAACGCUGGCGGCGUGCUUAACACAUGCAAGUCGAACGAGAACGGAAUAUAGCUUGCUAUAUUUGUCAGCUAAGUGGCGCACGGGUGAGUAAUGUAUAGAUAACCUGCCCUUAAGAAAGGAAUAACAGUUGGAAACGACUGCUAAUGCCCUAUAUGCCUUUAAUACAUAAGUAUGCAAGGGAAACGCUUUAGUGCUUAAGGAUGGGUCUGUAUGGUAUCAGCUUGUUGGUGAGGUAAUGGCUCACCAAGGCUAUGACGCCUAACUGGUUUGAGAGGAUGAUCAGUCACAAUGGAACUGAGACACGGUCCAGACUCCUACGGGAGGCAGCAGUGGGGAAUAUUGCACAAUGGACGAAAGUCUGAUGCAGCAACGCCGCGUGGAGGAUGACACAUUUCGGUGCGUAAACUCCUUUUAUAUAGGAAGAUAAUGACGGUACUAUAUGAAUAAGCACCGGCUAACUCCGUGCCAGCCGCCGCUGUAA
rnacentral:rRNA from 1 species